CAGGCUUUCAGAUGACAUGAUGCUGCCUUUUGACCAGAGGUUUUGGUGGUGAAACCAAAGAUUAACCAGAGCUUUAACAACCUCUAAAAGAAUGCUCCGGCAGUUCCAAUACUACUAAUCUGAAUCGAACUCAACCUCCAACGUGCAAGGCUCUGCAUUGUUUAGAAGCAAAUCGACAUAGUUAAAUUAUCCUGGUGGAAUGACCUUUUGUCCCAGUUGGCACUGUCUGAAGUCUAUGUAGGAGCUGUUUAAUUUCUUGCUUCCAAGACAUUUGAAUGCUCAAAAUCCUGCCUCCACCCCGCUUUUCACCUCAAGAGAACUGGACUUACAGAGGCAGGACAGCAAGCCAAAGCUCCCUGGUGGAGUUAUCAAGUUCCCAUGAAGAAGAGAAGCAGUGAAGAGAAGACAGCAAGGAUUACAGGCUGCACAAUAGAUUU